rnacentral:misc_RNA from 1 species
GAUGAAGAACGUAGCGAAAUGCGAUAAGUAAUGUGAAUUGCAGAAUUCAGUGAAUCAUCGAAUCUUUGAACGCACAUUGCGCCCCCUGGUAUUCCGGAGGGCAUGCCUGUCCGAGCGUCAUUACAACCCUCAAGCUCAGCUUGGUGUUGGGCCCCGCCGCCCCGGCGGGCCCUAAAGUCAGUGGCGGUGCCGUCCGGCUCCGAGCGUAGUAAUUCUUCUCGCUCUGGAGGUCCGGUCGUGUGCUCGCCAGCAACCCCCAAUUUUUUUCAGGUUGACCUCGGAUCAGGUAGGGAUACCCGCUGAACUUAAGCAUAUCAAUAAGCGGAGGA